rnacentral:rRNA from 1 species
GAUGAACGCUGGCGGCGUACCUAACGCAUGCAAGUCGGACGGGGCUUGGGAGCAAUCUUGAUCCGAGUGGCAAACGGGUGAGUAACACGUGGGUAACCUACCCUCGAGUGGGGAAUAACGCUCCGAAAGGGGCGCUAAGGCCGCAUGAACUCGGGAGAGCAAAGCCCCGUAAGGAGUGCUCGGGGAGGGGCCUGCGGCCC